AAAUUAAAGCCCUUUUUGUUGUCUAAAAACCGGUAUAUAAUAUGUGUUGGUACAAUAAAUGAGAGAGAUGCAAAUUGCAUUUGAACACAAACCGCAAAAAAUUGCUUGUGUCCUUAAGGGUAUGUCCAGCUUCUGAAGCUGUGUCCUUAAGGGAUUAAGCAAAUAUGAAGCCUCCUGUCAUGCUAUAAAAUUAACAUAUUUGCUCUCUCAGAUAAUAUGUCCCCAGACAACGAAAAUCUCAGAUAUGUCUCUUGAUAUUCCUGUGCAUGGCAUAACAAACGAUCAGGUUCUUUCCUAGUAAAUUCUUUUCAUGGUGCGGACGUCUUGUUAUACCAGGAUUAUUAUGUUAUCUAUAUAGCGCCAACAAAUUCCGCAGAUCUUUACAGUGGGUGGAUGAAAAAACAUGUGGUUGUAACCAGACAAGUUGGACACACAGGAACAGAGGGGUUGAGGGCCCUGCUUAAU